GGAUGCGAUCAUAGCAGCACUAAAGCACCGGACCCCAUCAGAACUCCGAAGUUAAGCGUGCUUGGGCGAUAGUAGUACUAGGAUGGGUGACCUCUUGGGAAGUCCUCGUGUUGCAUUCC
rnacentral:rRNA from 2 species